GUGAGGAAUUUUGCGCAAUGGGGGCAACCCUGACGCAGCGACGCCGCGUGGAGGACGAAGUCUUUCGGGAUGUAAACUCCUGUCAGUGGGGACGAUAAUGACGGUACCCACAGAGGAAGCACCGGCUAACUCCGUGCCAGCAGCCGCGGUAAGACGGAGGGUGCAAGCGUUGUUCGGAAUUACUGGGCGUAAAGCGUACGUAGGCGGCAAGUUAAGUUCAAUGUUAAAGCCCACGGCUCAACCGAGGAGAUGCAUUGAAUACUGGCUAGCUAGAGGGUGUUAGAGGAAGACGGAAGUCCCAGUGUAGCGGUGAAAUGCGUAGAUAUUGGGAGGAACAUCGGUAGCGAAAGCGGUCUUCUGGGACACACCUGACGCUGAGGUACGAAAGCGUGGGGAGCAAACGGGAUUAGAAACCCCUGUAGUCC
rnacentral:rRNA from 1 species